CAUGUCUUUUUGUUUAUGAUUUAAGGUUUGACCUGCUCAAUGAGGAUUUAAAUUGCCGCGGUAUUUUGACCGUGCAAAGGUAGCAUAAUAAUUAGUUUUUUUAUUGAAAGCUGGAAUGAAUGGUUGGACGAGAAAAUUACUGUCUCCUUUUAAUUUUAAAUUGAAUUUAACUUUUGAGUGAAAAGGCUCAAAUAAUUUUUAAAGACGAGAAGACCCUAUAGAGUUUUAUAUAAUUUAUUUUUUGGCUUUUGAUUGGUUAUUUUAAUAUUAAAAUUUAUUUUAUAUUUGGUUGGGGUGACUUGAAGAUUUUUUUAACUCUUCAAUUUAAUAAUCAAUGAUUUUUGAUAGGUAAAUCUAAUUUUUUUAAAUUUAAUACAAAUUACCUUAGGGAUAACAGCGUAAUUUCUUUUUAGAGUUCUUAUUGAAAUUGAAGUUUGCGACCUCGAUGUUGGAUUAAAAUUUAUUUUUGGUGUAGAAGCUAAAUCAUUAAGUCUGUUCGACUUUUAAAAUUUUACAUGAUCUGAGU
rnacentral:rRNA from 1 species